rnacentral:lncRNA from 1 species
UAUGGUUAUAUGCAAUUCCUUUAACUGUUUUAUGUAUUUUGGAAUGUUACUUUGAUGAGCAAUUACGGACCAUCUGAAAGAUAAAGAAAGGGUUCCGGCCACGAUUCUGACCGGAUGUCGCUUAUAUGGAGAUAGUCGUGCACGAUUAGUUGGUCUGAUUGCAAGGGUUUUUUCUUUUCGUAUUCUGAUUUGGUUCAGGUGCAUUGCCUCCGUUUCAGUUCAGCUAUUUGAGAAAUAGGAAAUCAUUAUCUGAGUUUUGGCGGGAUUGUCCUAUUCUGGCUGAUAAUUCAAAGGAGCAUAAUUGCAUGCCUUAUGAACAUUAUACCGCAACAUUACUUGCACCCUACUUAUGAAGCUUCGUAUUCAGAUGGUUCUGUGGGUAGCGCACCAGGUGAAAGUGGACCGUCGACUACAUAGCCAUGGAUUAGCGGCAGAAGAUUUCGCGAAUUAUUGA